rnacentral:rRNA from 1 species
AGUGGGGAAUCUUGCACAAUGGAGGGAACUCUGAUGCAGCGACGUCGCGUGAACGAUGAAGGCUUUCGAGUCGUAAAGUUCUGUCCUAUGGGACGAUAAUGACGGUACCAUAGGAGGAAGCCCCGGCUAACUACGUGCCAGCAGCCGCGGUAAUACGUAGGGGGCGAACGUUGUCCGGAUUUAUUGGGCGUAAAGGGUACGCAGGCGGCCAUGUAAGUCAGAUGUGAAAUCCUAGGGCUUAACCCUAGUUAGCAUUUGAAACUGUGUGGCUUGAGUUAAGGAGAGGAAAGUGGAAUUCCUAGUGUAGCGGUGAAAUGCGUAGAUAUUAGGAGGAAUACCAGUGGCGAAGGCGACUUUCUGGACUUAUACUGACGCUGAGGUACGAAAGCGUGGGGAGCAAACAGGAUUAGAUACCCUGGUAGUCCACGCCGUAAACGAUGAGUGCUAGGUGUCGGGGGUCAAACCUCGGUGCCGCAGCUAACGCAUUAAGCA